UUAACCAACAUAGGGGAGUAACUAGCAGAGUAUUCUGCGACAACGUCACCAACAAGGCUAUGUCUGGUGUUGUCUUAAAUAGUGAGACUUAUGGAUCUACU
rnacentral:sRNA from 1 species